GAGAGGGUUUUAGAUGGUCUGAUGAUUCGAAACGGCAUCGGUUUUUUGUUUUAGCUAGAGACUUCUAUUUGUCGUCUUCUGGUCAAAAGCAAAACUCUGGGUUCAUGAACUGCAGCAGAUACUUGCUUGGUGCUUGAAUCAACUCAGUUGUGUUGUGGGUAUUCCUCCGGGCUUGUGAUGCGGGUGUGAGGCGGAGUUCUGGCACUGUGUUCUAUCGCCAUUUGUUUUGUAGGUUCGUUGCCUUAAUUUGUUAGUCUGCUAAUUUUUUGUAGCUUCUGUGGGUGAUUUGGUGUGUCGUGUUGGAUUGUUCGACUUGCUCCGGCUCAGUUAGCUUGAUUUGGAGAAGUACCCAGAACCCAAUUAUUAGUGUGUGUUCUCAUUGUUAAUUAUCUUUGCGCUCAAGAUUAUGCAUUUUCCAUUGUACGGAUUAUCCACUUAUUUGUGUGUAAAGAGAGGUGAGCUUAAAUUUUCAUCACACCACGGGGUGGGUAUUCGUGCGGGAUUGAGCUGCGGGUGUGAGGCGGAGUUCUGAGAUUGUGUUGGCUUGCCUUUUGUAUUCCAAUGGCCAUGGAAGACAAUGGGUUGUUCACUGUUAUGGAGAUGCACAUCCAUGGUUGCUUUUUUCUUGCUUAUUCCUACAAUGCGUUUGUAUCUUGGGUUACUACUGAUUGUUGUGUUCAGAUAAAGAGGAUGGACUUAAACUAAAAUGUCGUCUUUGAUGCUUUGUAUUGUAGUUGAAUGAUACUGCUUUUCAUCUUCCCAAUGGAGCAAUUGUUAAUGAGGUAAUUGCUAUCACACUGUUCUUUUGCGCUUCUUUGUGCUCCAUUGUGGUUGUUCAAACCAAGAAUUGGUUUGUCAUGUGUAUAGUUGAUAUGCUUCCUUUUCUAAUUUUGUCGUACUGUUGCAUGCAUAGUUUUGUUCUGGCAUUAUUUUUGGUUUUCUCAGCUGAUAAACAAUUUUUUGAUGUCUUAUUUUUAUUAUUAUGCACCUGCCCCUACAAUUUAUGUUGGAGUCUGCUGGUAUGCUGCUGUCUUGAAUGGUUAUUGGGAAGAGAUGUUUAGUUGUGCGAAGAGCAGCCACGUUCCUGAUUCUGCAGGCCUUGACAAUCUCACAUUUCUGCAAAUAGUGUGCUUGCUAUGAAGAAGUACCUGAACUCCAAGAUACGAGAGGACAAGUGAAGGUGGGCGCGGUGUUAUAAGUUGACUGGGUAACAGGAAGAGCUCAAAUUGUUGCAGCAAUGGGGAAUACAGUCCUCGGCUUCGUAUGUUCUUGCUCUUAAGGACGUCUUAGGUGCCCACAAAUUCAUCCUCCUCCAUCGAGGUAUGUGAUGUAUACUGUAAAAUCAUAGACCAAAAACUAGGAGGUGAAUGAUGAUGGCGAGCAAGGCAAAAAUAUACAUGGCUCUGUUGAAUGGAUGGAGCUGGUGUUGUGUCUGGUUCUUAAUUUAAGCCCAACAUCAUCAGUAAUUCUUCUUUUGCACAUAUAAUUAAGCUCUUCUUUCUUGCCUUUUUAUUUUGUGUAAUUUUUGGUAAAUACCAAUUAAAAUGGAUUUAAAGAGGAAGAUGGCAAAGGGGUACUUGAUCGUGGAAACAUGGGAGAGAACAUGAAGCGAUCCGAGUGGGAAUUGCUAUAUAUAAAUUGUUGUGCACGAUCAGUUAAUGGAACCAUCCUUUGCUUGAUUAUUCCCAUACCAGAUUGGUACUCCAUAAGGACUUCAUGGUGUUACUCAACACCUGUAGUUUUCUUGAUGAUGAUAAACAACAACUUGGUAUUCUAUUCA